UGAGUGAAAUGCCAUGCGAGCAGGUGGUGUUGGGCUCUGCGGCAUUCCAGUGAAGGCGAUAAGGAGCCGUGUGAAAGAAGACACCCCCAGGCCCUGCUGAAAGCAUUUUCCCUGCGCAUCUACGUGCCCGCUCUUGCUUUGAGGCUGAAUGUGGUUUGGGGAGAAACCAGCACUGUUGCUACUGCUGGUGAUUUAAAGUUCCCUCACGGCGGCUUGCAGAGCUAAAGAAUGCAUGCUAACAACUCCUACUAUUACACAGACCCCAGAGUGGCUGCCUUGCCCAACCUUGCAGCAUCAGGGAGUCUAUCAGUUUGCUAGGCCUCCAUUACAAAGUACCACAGACUGGAUGGCUUCAAGAACAGAAAUUUAUUUUCCCACAACUUUGGAGGCUAGAAGUCUGAGAUCAAGGUGUCAGCAGAGCCUUCUGAGGCCUGUCCCCUUGACUUGUAGAUGGCUGUCUUCUCCAAGUGUCUUUACAUGGCCUUCUCUCUGUACCUGUCUGUCUCUUAAUCUCCCCUUCUUAUAAGGAUGGCAAGCAUUGGAUGAAGACCACCCCAAUGACCUCAUUAGGCCGAAUUACCUGUAAAGCCCCUAUCUCCAAAUACAGUCACAUUCUGAGAUACUGGUGUGUAGGACUCCAAUGCAUGAAUUUGGGGGGAUAAAAUUUAGCCCAUAACAGAGAGCCACAGCAUACAGUCAGCCAAACUGCCGGUUAGUUUCCUUUCCAAUAUACAAGAAUAUAUAAAAUGGAGGUGACAAGAUCACUUUUGAGAUUUUGAUAAUUUUGUUUGUUCUUCAGAUUUCCCACAUUCUUCCUAUUCCAAGAAAGUAGUCAGACCCUUACAAUUUCCUUAACUCAAGGAUUUUUCUGAGCAGAAACAGAAGGUGGUAACCGUGAUUCUCAGUUUCAUAAGGUCUAAACACCAUGAAAUGAUUUUGCAAGGUGUCCCAGAGCAAUGCCUUUGAGAAAAGCAAGGGAGGGGCUUAGUUCUGACUAGGAGGGACUAGUGGUCGGUAGACCACCAUGCUACUGUCAGGGAAAGAAUGGCAAGGCCUCGGGGGAAAGGGCUGCAGGGUCUUUAGAGGGAGGACAAACACCAAAAGCAGGGCUCCCCCGAUCCCUGUCAACCUUCCUCAGCCACAUGCAUGUCACAGAAGCUGCAGUUAGGACCUGACUGCUGGCCAAGACCAUGGACAGUUCAGUGACCAGUGAGGGCAAUGACUGAUGACCUGCUCCUCUGUUGAAUUCUAACACCUUUGCAAACCCCAGGGAGGAAGGAGCCCUAACCAUACCUGAGAUUGGCUUUCAGCCAGCACAGUGAAAUGGGGGACUAGAGUUGGAGUAACUUGAUUAAAAUGGUAAAAUUAUAUUCUUGAGCAAAUUAUAUUCUUAAGCUAAUUUAUGCGCUUUUAAGCAUAUAGUUCAUUCAUUCAUUCAAAAGUCAUUUGAAUGAAUGAGUGCCAGAUGCUCAUUCUAGGUUCAGGUGGUGUAGCUAUAAGCAUUCCAGGCAAAAUUCCUGCUCUCUUGGAGCCCAUAUUUUACUGGAGAAGCCAGACAGUAAAUAAGUAAAUAAAAUAGCUUCAGAGAGAAAUGAGAGCUAAAAAGAGAGAGGAACAGGGUAACAUGGCAGAGUGAGGGGAAUGAUACACAUAGGAGAUCAGAAAAAGCUUCUCUGAGCUGAGACACGAAUGAUAAGGAGACAGUUAUUUGAAAGACAGGAAGAGUGGGAGGGAGAGCAAAACUAUGCCUUGUCAGUGCAAAGAAAGAGAUGGAGGUUAGCAAGUGUAGUACAUGUGAACCCAUUACAGGAGAAUCUGUCAUGAAGUUAAUGAAGCAGAAGCUCAGGACCCUCCCUUCCAAGGCCCCAGAAGGAACACCAGCAAUGUGUUCACAUGUUCACAUGCCUUUGUAAAAUUUGCCAAAGUAAAAUACUUGAACUGAAUUUGGUUAAGAUUGUUGUCUUUUUUCACUCCGACUUCCCCUCCAAGUGGUGGUAGAGCAUUAUCGAAAUCCAGCUCAAGGGAAGAUGAGUUGGGGAUUGGUUCAGCUUGGUUUUGGUGGAAUAUAUUUAUGUGGUUCUCAGUCACAUUCAUGUCAAGUUAUUGCCAGCUGCGCCAGCAUAGGAAUGAACAGCUCCCAGGCACACUCCCCCUAUGUGUUGUGCCGAUAUGCCUGGUGUGGAAACACUGAAGGGCAGGGUCAGAGGUCUUACCAUAACACCAACCCAUUUUAGGGUGCUGACACUGUAUUUGGUAGUAAAGGAGAAACAUAAGUUGGCAUGUACAGCACCACAAAUUAGUCUGUGGAAACUUUUUCAGUAGCUAAAUAUAAAAAUUGCCAGUGAAGAAUUAGUUUCUUAUUGAUGCCUAGUCAAAUGUGAAGCUUUCCCCUUUCAGGAACAUGCUAGAUGAUGCAGCGCAUAUAAUUAUAAAUGCACCAUGCUUUUUUUGGCUACCAUGAAAAAUAGAAUUUAUCAGAAUUCCUACGUUUCUGGGCACAAACCUGCAACCAUGUUACAGUGCAAGUCAAUUAUCAGUAAUAAACCAUGUGGUGCGCAAGCCAAUUAUCAAUAAUAAAAACUAGUAUUAAUUAACUAUGCUAGAGGUUAAUGGAAAAAAAUAUUACAAAGUUAUUGUCAUAUAACUUUGUCUUUGAGGAAAUCAAAGAGAACUCAACUAAAUAAUGUAGGGAAAAACAGGUGUAUCAAACAGUUAAUAAAAAUAUUGUUAUUUAUCUGGAUUUUGAGAUGUCUGUAGUAGUUAUCAGGUAAUUUGUUGGGGGGUGUUCAUAGAUAAAACUAACACAUUUUUAUUUUUGUAAUUUAGGUGUCUCUCUUCUGAUCUUUUUUUUUUCUUGGUGGUACGUGGGCCCCUCACUUCUGUGGCCUCUCCCGUUGUGGAGCACAGGCUCCGGACAGGCAGGCCCAGCGGCCAUGGCUCACGGGACCAGCCGCUCCGCGGCAUGUGGGAUCCUCCCAGACCGGGGCACGAACCCGUGUCCCCUGCAUCUGCAGGCAGACUCUCAACAACUGCGCCACCAGGGAAGCCCGAUCUUUUCAUUUUUCAUCAAUCUUUCUACCCUCUCUCUAACUUCAUAGCUUUGCAAGAUAAAUUAAAAUGUCUGCUUUGCCCUUAGGCUUCUGGAAGGUAAUAAUAUUUAAAGUAAAUACAUUUCCAUUUACAAUGACAAAAUGUCUAUAAAGUACUAUUAAAAAUGCCUAAUAAAAUAAAUAAUGCUGAUGGGGUUCUUGAGUGAAGCCUUAUAUUGAGCCAAAUUUUAGAUAACGAGUAGUGAUUUCUUAAGUUGGGAAUUACUUUUAACCUAUGAAAAAAAAAAUUUAAUUCAAAUCACUGCAUUUGUUGUACCAAGGUGAUCUUUUCGAGACUAAACCACAUAGUGCUUUCAACCUAUUGCAGGUUUGCUAUCUACCCUGCCUUUAAAAACCUGCUUUCAUGCAUUUAUUUAAUAAAUGUUUAUUAUUUAUUUCUAGGCAUGAUGGCACUGUUCUAGGCAUGAUGGAUAUGGAAAUUAACAAGUCAGAUGAGAUGCAUACCCUCUAGACACUCAUAUUCCAGUAAGAAGGACAGACGAUAAAGACAAAUAACCCUGGCUUCGUCAGAAGGUGGUACGCGAGCCUCUCACUGUUGUGGCCUCUCCCGUUGCGGAGCACAGGCUCCGGACGCGCAGGCUCAGCGGCCAUGGCUCACGGGCCCAGCCGCUCCUCGGCGUGUGGGAUCUUCCCGGACCGGGGCACGAACCUGUGUCCCCUGCAUCAGCAGGCAGACUCUCAACCACUGCGCCACCAGGGAAGCCCUCCCAUACUAUUUUUAAUUAUGAAAAUACUCUCUACAGUUACUGAGAGAAUUUUCUCCAACAAAAGUGGGAACACAAAGGACAUUCAAGAUAUCCCAAAGAUCUAUUAUCUAAUUUCAAAAUCAAAUCUUGCACUAUUUGGACUUUCAUUAUUUCAGUACUUACAAUGACACUUUGCACCUGCUUUCUGUAAAGAUGAGACCUUAAAGCUGAAAUUUGGAGGCAGAAGAAUUGGCUUUUAGAGUUAAAGCAUUGUGCUACAAAAACAGAUUUGUAUCUUCCCUUGGACGGCUUGGAAACUGUCAGUGCAAUCCAGGGUAAGAAGGUGUGGAACCUAGAAAGACAGAAGUACGUGGGCCUCUCACUGCUGUGGCCUCUCCUGUUGCGGAGCACAGGCUCCGGACGCUCAGGCUCAGUGGCCAUGGCUCACAGGCCCAGCCGCUCCACGGCAUGCGGGAUCCUCCCAGACCGGGGCAUGAACCCACGUCCCCUGCAUCGGCAGGUGGACUCUCAACCACUGCGCCACCAGGGAAGCCCUUGAAUUAAUUUUUAAAUAUGAUGCGAGGUAGGAGGUACAGAUUGAAGUUCAUUUUUUUGCAUGUGAAUAUCAAAUUGUUCCAGUACCAUUUAUUGGAAUGACAAGAAAAGCCUGUUCUCCUUUUUUAACUUUGUUGAAAAUCAAUUGAAUAUAAAUAUAUAUAUUUCUAUAUAAAUAUAUCCAGAAUCUCUAAUCUGUUUCCUUAAUGUUUUUGUCUAUUUUGUUGCUAAUACCAUACUGAUUUGAUUAUUGUAGCUUUAUAAUAAGUCUUAA